AUACAUGCUUUAGUCAAAGACUUUCUGAACUUAGUCUCGCAAAUAGCAUAGGACUUCUCUUUUUUUAUCAAGAUUGAUAGAUUCCAUCUAAGUGCAUUCUACUCCAACAGUAAACCUGAACCUACUAUAGCCAACAUAUAUAGCAAGAAUCCGAAUGGCUAAGGAUCAAGAGAACAUGCAAUCAAACUCAGUAGCCUUGCUGUGAAUAGCUGAUCACACCGCAGGUCAAAGGACUACCCACACCACUAC
rnacentral:lncRNA from 1 species